GGAUCGGCAGCUCAUCUUGAAAAAAAACCUUAAACCCAAUAAGGCGGGCUCUGCUCUCUCUUGAUCGCGGCGGCGGACGCUAACAAAUGCCGCCGCGAUCAAGAGAAGCGCGUGUUGGUUCAGAUCAUCUUCACCGUCGUCUUCGCCUUCUCCUGCAACCUCUUCUAAAGAGGCGAGAUGGAUGAACUGGGUCUUCGUGCUUCCUUACUAUCACCAUGGGGUUAGUUUCAGCUGAUGAGAGAUUUCAAUUAAGUUUCUUUAACACAACCAGUCCGGAAAUGGUGGAUUUUUAGGAAGGAAUAUGGAAAACCAACGAUGAAUACAACUCCAAUGUGUGGAUUAGGAACCCACACACACAAAGGUAGUAAGGGAAAUCUCACAAUGGAGGCAGACGGCUUAUUGAAGAUUCUGCAUGAUGAAAGGAGUCCAAUUCCAUUGAAUGCUACUGUAGCUGCAGCUCCAAACUCCAUGGCCACUAUAGAAAAUUCUGGAAGCUUUAAAGUGACAGAGCUGGAUUCUGAAGAAUAUUGAUCUACCAAGAUGGUCUUUAAGGCAAAGCUUUGAUUAUCUAAUCCUUUAUAGAAUAUUGUUAAUCACUUUGGUUGUCUAUUUUUCAGAAUUAUCAACACGUGCUGUGUAGCAUGAUCUGAACAAACGACAAGACUGUCCGAGAAUCUCUUCAUGUUCGAGAGGACUUCUCUCUCAAGUGUCAUCAGUUACCGCAAAACAGAGUAACUCAAUCAAAGCUUUGCAUUAAAGACCAUCUUGGUUGAUUCUUCAGAAUCCAGCUCUGUCACUUUGAGGUUUCCUGAAUUUUCUACAGUAGCAAUGGAGUUUGGUGUUGCUUCAUUAGCAUUCAAUGGAAUUGGGGUUCCCUCCAUCAUGCAGAAUCUUCAACAGGCCGUCAGCGACCAUUGUGAGAUUUCCCUUACUACUUUUGUAUAGGUGUGUGUCGGUUCCCAAUCCACACAUUGGAGUUGUUUUCAUCGUUGGUGUACCGUAUAAUCAUAUUCCUUCCUAAAAAUCCACCAUUUCUGGGCUGUUCAUGUUGAAGAAGCUUUAAUGAAAUCUCCUAUCAGCUGAAACCAACCCCUUAGUGACAUACAGAGCACUUCAGCAGCUUUGAUGGUGUCUAUCAACUAAAGGAUGAGAAAGUUGUGGCCCUGCAUUUCCAAGGCACCAACAUGACAAAGAGAAAGUGAAAUAUAUUACAGAAUGUGAUAUACUUGCUGAAUUCAAUGAAAUCCAUAAACAAAUUUGCUUUGCCAUCUAUCAAUACCAUGUGACAAACAACUAUAACCUCUGUU